UUUUUUUUUUUUAAUUUUGCCAGCCCUGGGGCUUGAAAUCAGGGCCUGGGCACUCUCCCUGAGCAAUUUUAUGAUCAAGUCUAGCACUCAUACCACCUUGGACCAAACUCCACCUC